rnacentral:lncRNA from 1 species
AACAAGAGUCUAGUAGAAUUUAUCUCUUUAUUAUUCUGUGACAUGUCAAUGGCUGAGGAGCAGGUUUCUAUAUGAGAGUUUGGGGGAUCUCCUAUCUUGUGUAGGUCUCAAGCGAGCAGGGCAUCAACUCCAGCAUGACCUGUUCUUUGAUACCUUGAAGAUUCAGUGUGGCUGCUCAGUGAAGGAGGUCUUGGGCAGGGCCGCUCAGCGGCAGAUCAAUUUUCGGCUUUUUGAGGAUGGCACACUUGGUAUUUCUCUUGAUGAAACAGUCAAUGAAAAAGAUCUGGACGAUUUGUUGUGGAUCUUUGGUUGUGAGUCAUCUGCAGUAAGUAAAAUAAAAACAUGCGUUCCUCAUCAUAACUAUUGGAGGUGGUAGCAAAAGUAGCUUAUCCCCUGAGUGUGAGGGAGAAGGGGCCCAAGUGUGACACUGGUAGCUUGUUGUUAAAAUUAUUCCACUGACUAUCCCUUGCUAGUCACUGCUGACAGCUGGAGGUCACUGCUGUAGGGCUCCAGCCAGUAUUAUGCACCCAGGCUAGUUGGAAAGAUUGUUAAUGGUGUUUCAUUGAAAGUGCCUCUAGGCUGGGGAUGGUGGCUCAUGCCUGUAAUCCCAGCACUUUGGG